rnacentral:rRNA from 1 species
CAGCCGCCACGGUAAUACGUAGGGUGCGAGCGUUAAUCGGAAUUACUGGGCGUAAAGCGUGCGCAGGCGGUCAUAUAAGACAGUUGUGAAAUCCCCGGGCUCAACCUGGGAACUGCAUUUGUGACUGUAUAGCUAGAGUACGGUAGAGGGGGAUGGAAUUCCGCGUGUAGCAGUGAAAUGCGUAGAUAUGCGGAGGAACACCGAUGGCGAAGGCAAUCCCCUGGACCUGUACUGACGCUCAUGCACGAAAGCGUGGGGAGCAAACAGGAUUAGAUACCCCUGUAGUCCCUGUCUCUUAUAC